GCCAGGCGUUGUGGCAGGCGCCUGUAGUCCCAGCUACUUGGGAGGCUGAGGCAGGAGACUCGCUUAAGCCCAGGAGUUGGAGGUUGCUGUGAGCGUGAUGCCAUGGCACUCUACCCAGGGGGAUAGCUUGAGGCUCCAUCUCAAAAAAAAAAAAAAAAAGAAUAUAAUGUUGGUAUAGUCUGAGCAUAGUCUUGUUAGAGCUCAUCAAUGUCCUUGCUAUUGCCUGGAUUUUUUUUUUUUUUUUUUUUUUGAGACAGAGCCUCAAGCUGUCCCCCUGGACAGAGUGCCGUGGCAUUACAGCUCACAGCAACCUCCAACUCCUGGGCUCAAGCGAGUCUCCUGCCUCCG
rnacentral:SRP_RNA from 1 species